GCCGCGGUAAAACCAGCACCUCAAGUGGUCAGGAUGAUUAUUGGGCCUAAAGCAUCCGUAGCCGGCUCUGUAAGUUUUCGGUUAAAUCCAUACGCUCAACGUAUGGGCUGCCGAAAAUACUGUAGAGAUAGGGAGUGGGAGAGGUAGACGGUACUCGGUAGGAAGGGGUAAAAUCCUUUGAUCUAUCGAUGACCACCUGUGGCGAAGGCGGUCUACCAGAACACGUUCGACGGUGAGGGAUGAAAGCUGGGGGAGCAAACCGGAUUAGAUACCCGGGUAGUCCCAGCUGUAAACGAUGCAGACUCGAUGAUGCAUUGGCAUAUAGCCAGUGCAGUGUCGCAGGGAAGCCGUUAAGUCUGCCGCCUGGGAAGUACGUACGCAAGUAUGAAACUUAAAGGAAUUGGCGGGGGAGCA
rnacentral:rRNA from 1 species